UGGUAUAGCUCAGUUGGUAGAGCAGCUGAUUUGUAAUCAGCAGGUCGUGGGUUCGAGUCCCUCUACCA
rnacentral:tRNA from 1 species